rnacentral:lncRNA from 1 species
UUCAAGAUGGCAGGAGCAUUCGUGAAUCGUGGUAGUGUAAAUAUUAAAUAGGGACCCUGUACCUACUGAAUAACAAUAUAGUCAUUAUAUUUAUAUUUUAUUAGUUUCAUUAUAGUAAUUAUUUGUUUAGAGUUUAUUUAAUUUCUUUACAAUAACCAUUAACACGUUCACAAUACAAUAAGUCACUAGUUAUUCUAAUCAAUGGAUUUUAAAGCCACUCGUUUAAUCGGCAUUACCGACGAAUUUGGUCAUGACUGAAGAACAGGUUGGCUUUAAUUUGGGCGAACUCAGAAAGCUUUGCAAACCUUACAUAGACUAUACUCGCUCAUAUAUGGACCAAAUGCCAAACAACUUAUGCAAUAAGCAUCAUGUCACUGUUGACAAUUUCAUCUUUCAGUUUUCAUCUGAAGUGGUGGAUUUUAGUUCACAGUAUGGCAGCGACAUUAGCAUAUCUUACACGGCUAGUAAUCUUACGGGGAAACCAAGCAAAUUUCCAAAUUAUGGAGACUUUCCUCAGUCAUAUGUCAUGGUGAGUUUUGUAAUAAACUUUUUACAAGUGUAUAGGUACUUGGCACACAUAUUGGUCUAGUAGGCAUUGAAGCCAAUCAGCCUGUCAUCAAUUUAUUGAUAUAUUUUUUCUAUUUAUUACUAAAUUAAAUAAAACAUUUUUUAAUUAAAAACUACUUGAAUUCAAGUUUUUUUUUUCAUUUUUUCUAAGACUAAGUGUAGGUGUGCAUCAAAGAUUGGUAUUGAAGCCUUACCAAAUUUCUGUUGUAAUAGAUGAAGUUACCAAUGAAAUACAAGGUGAGGUACCGAGGAAAGUGGCACUUGAAGGAUAAGUAGAAAUAAAACAGUACAUAUAGUAUGAGUUUAAAGGAACGGGAUAAGAUAACUAAUGACAAUAAGCAGUGACAUUAAAGGUGAGCUUGAGGUUUUUAAGUUCCUAGGAUCUUUUGUAUAGAAGAAUAACAAUUUCUAUGAGGAUAUUAAAUAAUGGUGGUUGAAUAAAAUGGAGAGAAGCGUUAGGUGUUUUAUGUGACAACAAGAUAAAUAUAAGAUUUAAAGGUAAGUUCUACAAUAGUAUGGUGAGACUGGCUGUUUUAUGAUUCAAAGAAAAAUAGAAAAUAAGUGUAACAGAGAUGUGAAUGCUUAGGUGGAUGACUGGAGUGAUGAGAGAAGAUAGUAUAAGGAAUGAGUAGCUUAGGUGUGGCUUCGAUAGUAAUCAAAAUGAAAGAAAAAUAGACAGAUGGUUUGGACAUGUCAUUAGGAGAGAGGAAUCAGAAGCGGUAAGAAUUGUAAUGAAAAUAGACACAGGAGGAAUAAGGGGAGAGGAAGACUAAAAUAUGGUAGCUGGAUGUGAUUGAGAAUGAUGCGAGGACAGUCAGUGUAUGAGAGGCGGGAGAUCAGCUCAAGUAGAAGUUUAAGAUGAAAGUGGCUGACCCAAAAUAGUUGGGAUAAAGGAGAAGGAGAAGAAGACAUUUUUUUCUAUGACUAGAAGUGGUUAUUCAUUUUACAUUUUACAAGUUGAAUAUUAUUGCAUGUAACAUGUUUAACAUUACUCACUAGUUUAGUUUUUUAUUUUUAAUUAUUUAUAAAUAUGUAAUAUUUGUUAAUUACAUCAUUUUUGUUUUUACAGAGAACUUAUGGACCAUGGAAAGAUGUUGCACCAUCUAGAAAAUGUCCAAUAAUGCCACAAAAUGCAGAGAGAAUAAAAAGUGAAGAUUAUAUAAGUAUGAUGAUAGAAAAAAAAAUUAUUGAAUUAUCAACUUAUGAUUAUCUUAUAUUUUAGUAUUAGGAUUUGAUGUACCAGUUGUGCCCUUGGUUGUAUCCAUAUUCGAAACGUUCACACCUGGAUCUGUUGUGCGUAUAUCAGGAAAAGUUAUUGACCUUCCUGAUUCGAUGGCGUGGCGACUACUGUGGGAAGGAUUGCCUCAAAAUUGUAAUGGUUUAAGAUACUCAAGAUUGUUUGCUCCUAAAUUAAAAGUCAUUAAAGAACGGGUCAAGUAAGAUAAACAUAUACUGCUGUAAGACAAUGAAAGUUGCGAAUAACAUUAAUAUUCAAAUAUUAUGCGUGUAGUCAGAUAUGUAUAGAGUUCAAUCAUUCUCAAUUGAACUACUAUACCGAGUUGGAUGCCGUAUCUCUGGGAGGCAUUUUGAAAUAUCCUGAAACUGGUGAACUUGAAAUCUUUUCAAUACCUUUGGUGACUCAUACAAGAUCAGGAUAUGUUUAUGAUAACAACGAAGAAGACAACCAAACACUAUUGACAGAAAUUAGAGUUCCUUCAGUGGCUUCAAAAGUGAUUUUCUCCAAUAGUUUCAUUUUUCUAGAUUAUUUAUGUAUAACAAUAUAUGUAUUGUUUGUAGUUACCAAUGUCGACAAGUUUGGAUCCGUUUAUAGACCUUAUUAAAAACAUAGAAGAACUUGAAAAUGAGUGGCGCAAAAGUGUACCUGACAUAGAUCAUACUUUAAAAUUACCUGUAUGUAUUUUUUUUUUAUUUUAGUCGUGUUAAUAAAUGAAUCUUAAAAUUUGUAUUACUCACAUCAAUAAUAUAGGAUGAAACAUUAAUGCAUAUAUUUUCAUAUUUGGAUUUAAAAUCAUUGCGUCGGUGUUUAAGUGUUAGCAAACGCUUCAAUGCCAUUUGCAAAGACGGAUCUUUUUAUAGAGAACUAAAUUUCAAAGUAAGUACAGCAAUAUUCAUAAUGUAUGUACUUAUAAUUUAUUUUUUCUCUUUUGUAGCCUUAUUGGUCUACAUUUUCCUAUGAAAUGCUUAUGUCAGUAGAGCCUCAAUGUUCCCGAUUAGCAAAGUUGGAUUUAUCCUGGUGUGGUAUAACAAGAGGAAUAUUAAGUACAACAUUCAAUGUGUAUGCUAUUUGUGUUAAACAUGUAAUACUCACAAUAGUUACUAUUUGUUUUUAAUUUUUGAUAAAACAUUUUUAGAUUUAUAAAUAAAUGCGGUACCCAUUUAACUCACUUACGACUGGACAAUUGUAAAUUUGUCAAUGAUAGUUCGUUAAUUGCAAUAAAUUUGUUUUGCAAAUAUCUCAAAGGUUAAAUUAUUUCACUUGUCAACAAUACAAUACCACAAUACAUAAUUAAUAGCUAUGGAAAUUUAAAUUUUCAGAGUUAAGUUUGAGAAGUUGCACUUCAAUUGAUUUCGGAUUGAUAAAAUCUCCGCAGAGUUUUUCCAAAAUGGAACGUAUAGAUUUCUAUAGAACAAAUAUUACUCAAGAGUGUUUAAAAUGUUAUCUGUGCAGUAUGCCCAAAUUGAAACAUAUUAAUUUGGGUAGUUAUUUUUGUUUGAUUAUGAAGUAAAUGAUGUUAAUAUAAUUGUUUAAUUAUUUGUUAAGGUUCGUGUAAAAGAAUUGAAUCCAUGGACAAUAUUGCUUUGGUGUUGUCAAUAUGGAACAAGGAGCUAGUGUCUGUAGAUUUUUGGAAAAGUUAUUCAUUGUCGCCUCUCGGACUACGGUAUUUAAUGGUUCAUAAGAAUCUCGAAGAAAUUGAUCUCGGAUGGUGGUUGGUAUAUUAUAUUGAUUGAUAUUAGGGAAAGGUUGACUCCAAUUUUAUUAUUCUAAGAUUGUUAGUUAAUUUGUUGUAUACUAUUUAUCUAUGUAUUCUUGUGUUAUGCAAAAAUUGACUAUCAUAGUAUAAUUAAGAUUCAAUGAAUCUAUAGUAAUAUAUAUUGAGUAAGAACACAUUAAUUAAUCAAAAAUGUAUUCAUGUUUUCAGUUUGGCUUUGAGUAUUCCUGGCACUAGUCUUAUAAAUUUGGUAAAAUCUUGUCCUAGAUUAAAAAAGAUUAUAAUUGUAUCAUUACGUGGUGUAAGCGAUCGUGAUCUACUUGCAUUUGCUGACUACUGUCCACUGUUGGAACAAAUUGAUUUGGUUGGCCUGAGAGCAAUUACAGUUGAAGCUUGUUCCAAAUUCCUACAGAAGUGCAAUAACCUAAAGCUAAUAGACGUCAACUUUUGUGAAAACAUCAAAGAAAUGACUGUACAAGAAUGGCGACUCAAAUAUCCUAAUGUUUGCAUUCAAUUUACUACUUCUGAAUAUUCAAAUGUAUAUCAUUACUAGGUAUAUUUUCAUUAUCGUAUGCGUUUUAUUUUCAAUUUUGCUUUAGCAUUUUAAUUCACGUAGCCAAAAAUAGAUUCUCGAAUAAAAUUAUUUAUAAAUUAGAAAAAAAAAAAAAUUAAUAUAUUAUAUUUAAGUAUAAGUUAUGAUCAAUUAAAAUUUAGUGUGUUUGUAAUUUGUAUCCAUUUAAUUAUUUUUAUCAUUGUGACAUUUUUUUAAUGAACAAUUAAUAAAUAUUAAUUAAUUUUAUAUUAAGGAUCUCGUAGUUUGUGUGACCAUUUUAAAUUUUUAAAAGCAAAAGAAUAAUAUAAUAAAAUUUAAU